CACGCCGGCAGCACAAUGAUGAUGUCACUGACUCUACUGCUGGCCACCCUGGGGCUCCUUGUUCAGGGUUCAUCAGGACAAAUCAUCGUGACUCAGUCUCCUGGAGCUCAGUCUGUGGUUGCAGGGCAGUCUGUCUCCAUCACAUGUAGAACCAGUACAAGUGUUGGUGACUGGCUUCACUGGUACCUUCAGAAACCUGGCAAAGCUCCUAAACUCCUGAUUUAUAAAGCUACAAAUCGUCAGUCUGGAGUUUCAGAUCGUUUCAGUGGAAGUGGAUCUGGUACUGACUUCACUCUGAGCAUCAGAGGAGUCCAGGCUGAAGAUUCAGGAGUUUAUUACUGUCAGCAGGGUAGCAACUUGUUCACACAGCGAUACAGCGCCGUACAAAAACCUCCCUCAGCUUUAGAGGAACAGUCUCAACAGCUGCACUCAGACUAA